rnacentral:rRNA from 1 species
GACGAACGCUGGCGGCGUGCCUAACACAUGCAAGUCGAACGGAAAGGCCUCUUUCGGGGGGUACUCGAGUGGCGAACGGGUGAGUAACACGUGAGUAACCUGCCCUUGACUUUGGGAUAACUUCAGGAAACUGGGGCUAAUACCGGACAGGAGCUCCUGCUGCAUGGUGGGGGUUGGAAAGUUUCGGCGGUUGGGGAUGGACUCGCGGCUUAUCAGCUUGUUGGUGGGGUAGUGGCUUACCAAGGCUUUGACGGGUAGCCGGCCUGAGAGGGUGACCGGCCACAUUGGGACUGAGAUACGGCCCAGACUCCUACGGGAGGCAGCAGUGGGGAAUAUUGCACAAUGGGUGGAAGCCUGAUGCAGCAACGCCGUGUGCGGGAUGACGGCCUUCGGGUUGUAAACCGCUUUCGCUCAUGACGAAGCUUUGUGUGACGGUAGUGGGUAAAGAAGCACCGGCUAACUACGUG